CUCCCUUCGCUUUUCAUUCUCUCUACGAUUUUGGAUCUGGAUCUGCUAUGUCUUUGCCUUGCGUGGCUCAAUUCCAACAUUCGGUUUCUAAUUCAAGAUCUCAACAACGGGGACAAAUACAUCAACCAACGGCGACACAGUCAGGUUGUUUAAAUUUAGGGUUCCGGCAAAAAAUGAAGAUGGUUACGAGUUCCGGUGGUGAUUGUGUUAAGAUUCUACAGCCAUCAGAGGAGAGGAGGAUGGACCUUCCAACCAAGCUCCGGUGAAGAUUUCGGCAACUCCGGUAAGGAAGUUCUGCCAUGCUUUCCUUCUAUUCAAGGGUUAUAGUAGAGCAAAGGAUCUUGAAAGUAAGGAACUAACUAUUGGAACAACUUCCUUCUUUGCAGUAUCUACUGUAUCGCCUUAUCGGAUGCAUGGUGGAUGUUUGGACAAAGGAAAGAGAAGUUGCUGGAUUAAAGGCAGCUUGAGGGAUGUUAGCUUACAUGUAUCUUGGCAAGUCAAAUAACCCGUCAUGUUGGUCAGGUCUGAUUACAUUAUUAUCAUGUAGUUUUAUGCCGAUAGCCACCGGAAAGAACAUGGAAAACCUGAUUUUGAGUCAUUUAAGCAAAAGGUAAUAUCCUUUUAUUAUAACAUGUUACACUCAUUUUGAAUAACCUGUUCAUUUUGUGCUUAAAGCGAACGCAGCCGCAGCGAUGAAGGGCAUCAAUGAACUGGGUUCCAAAAGGAGUUUCAAGGGCAAUGGUGGACUUGGAGAUGUCGUUUUAUGCAAGAAUAAGUUGGAUGGAAGACAAUAUGAUGUUAAGAAGAUUCAAUUAAAGGGCGGAAGUCAUCCUUUAGAUGAUAAAAUCAAGUAUUUAGUUGGAAUUGCUAACAACCUUUCUUUUCUAGUUCUGUACCCGUUCGGUGGACGGACAUAUUAAUGGUAUAAUGACAUAAACUAUACCCUGAUUAUGUUUUAACCUCUCUUCUAGUUUUGUUUUGUUUGUUUUAGUAUUUAAAUUUCUAUAACUAGUACUUUUAUUUGGUUGUUUGUAAGAUUAAUGUUUAUUAGUUUAAUGAAGAAUCUUAAUUUGUUUCCAUAAUGCUUUGGUAUUUGUUUGUACAUAUUGAACAUUUUUAUCUACAUAUAGUGUGGUUAAUGUCUACACUUUAAAAUAUAUUUACCAACACAUCAAUGUUUUUUUUCAACACAAAUUAAGAUCAAUACCUACACAUCUUCAACAUUUACCUACACAUAAUAUUACUUUUACCUACACAUAAGAUUACUUUUACCCACACAUAUAUUCAUGCCACGUCAACUGCCAUGUCAGAUGCCACGUCGGAUGCCAUGUCAUAUGCCAUGUCAGCCGCCACGUCGGAUUCCACGUCAGCUGCCACGUCAGAUGUCUUCUAAACAAAUUGUUGUACUUUUAACCACACAUAUAAAUGGCUUUUAGCCACACAUAUAUGUGUAGGUAUAGCUUGCUAUAUGCCUACAUAUAACGUAUGUGUGGAUAAUGACCUAUAUCCACAGUCAUAAGCCUACACAUCAUUACACUUAUUUUAUGUGUAGGUAAAGAAAACUAACAACGCAUUAUAUACUUUUUCCCACAUAUACUUUGUGUUGGUAAAGAAACAAAUUUCUUGUAAUGACAAAACGUGCUUAAUUUUUAAACAUAAAGGACAAAACUCGUCAAAUUUAAACAUAAAGGACAAAACUUGCAAAGUGACAUAAAGAUAAAGGACAAAACUUGAAAUUCACUCUAUUUAUAAUAAAAGUAUAAUGAUCAAAAUGCCUCUGAGGAAAAGGACAAAAACUAGUUUUUUUUUUUUAGAGAUCUGACCUAAUUUGAGAUUUGGACCAAAAUGGCAAUAAAACUGAAACCUCAACGACCAAAAUGGCAGUUUACUCUUAAAAUAAUUAUAUAUCCUGAGAAGAGCUGAGAUUUCGGCUAAGAAAGAGACUCCUGUGAAUUUCCUUAAGGACCCUAUGGAACGGAGAUCUACUCUGCGACCAGUGGAUCUGCUCAUCUUUGGUUGGGCUAGGGGGAAACAUGCUUGUGUGGACCUCAAGGGAGUUUCCCCUCUGGUUGGUUUAAGGGAAAACGGGUUUGUAGCUGGACAAGCAGCAAGAAAGGCAGAAUCGAAGAAAGUUGAUAAGCACGCUAAAGCUUGUGCAAAGAACCAGCAUGUUUUUGUCCCUUUUGCCUUUUACACAUUUUGCUCCCUAGCGCCAGAAGCUAUCUAAUUCCUGACCAAGGUCCAACGGGUAAUCCACAACAAUUGCUCAGCCUUAGGGGGACGAGGUUUUGUCUUUGGUAGAUUAGAGGUUGCAAUUCAGAAAGGGGUGGUUGCGCAGCUUGUUGCCCGUCUACCUUCUGUUUUGAUGUAACUUAGCAAGUAUGAAUAAGAUAAGUCUUACAUUUAAGAUAAAAAAAAUUAUAUAUCGCUACUUAAAGAGAUGGUAACAUAAUAAUAUUGACUCAAAGUCAAGAUACAUAGAAGAAGGGAUAAAUAACUAUUAAGAGUUUAAGACAAGGAUUACAGAAGUUUCACCAUAAGACCAUAGGAAACACAAAAUUCUCUUUUGGCAAACUAGACUGAUCAGGUCAAACCGGACAGAAUAUUGGAUCAGAACAGGUUCAUAUAAAAAAGGGACAUUUUAGGUCGUAUGUAAUGGGGCGCGGUGAAGGCCAUAGCGCCGGUAUGGAGCCCCCCACACCGCCCCCCCCCCCCCCAGCGCCAUGAUCAAAAAAAAAAAAACCGGCGUGAAAAAAUUCACGGCGCGAGGAAGAAGGGGAUUUGUUCUCCAUUUUCCACUUUGGUCCCUGCAUUUUACAAUUUGGUCCCUGCAUUAAAACACUUUGGUCCCUGCAUUUUACACUUUGGUCCCUGCAUUUUACACUUUGGUUAUGAUGAGGUAGGGCUUUAUGACUACGGCCUCAAGCCCCAUAAAGCCCCGGGGUGACGUGGCAUGCCACAUGGCGCAUAACGCCCCUUUGGGGGCUUUAUGACUACACAUGGGCUUAGAAAUGAUCAUAAUUUUUUUUUUGUACAGAACGGGUUUUGACCAAAAUCAAUACGGGUCGGAUCUGGACAAUUCUAAAACGACUAAAUAAAAUACAUGCUAAAAGAUAACGCAAUAGUUUUGCAGUGAUUGAACAAUAUAAAUGUAUCGGAUCAACAUGCAACAGAUUACCCAUCUGCGUAAUUGUAAUAAAGGUUCACUGAUUAUAUGCUUCUUGAUAAAAUGUACAUAUAUAUGUUACGAAAACAACAAAAACAAAUGAACCCACAAAUAAUUCCUCUAAUUAGAAAAUCAAGAGAAAAAUGGAGAUCAAAGAAACAACAAAAUCAAACCUUGGUUGCGAAAGCCAGUACUGAAAAGACAGCUAUAACCUAAAUAGAAGGUCUGGUUGAAACGUCCCGAUGAUACAUGGACCAGAAUGAUCCAUUCUGAUUAUCUUUGACCCAUUCUCUAACUCAUCUAAUAGAGUCCAAAUAAACCCAUAAGCUAGCCCCUUAGCCAGAGUAUUGCCCCCUAUAACUAAAAUCGAUAAGAAUAUCAUGAGAUUGCAUAAAACAUUAAAAAGAUUACAAGAUCAUGACCCAACAAUAGCAAAAAAAACUUGUAAACAAUAGCCAUGCAAGACCCGUUAAAGUAAACUUGAUAAUAAAAUCUAGUUCCAACAACCAGAGACAGGGACAGGGCCAAGGCUAGAACACACCAAUGCCACAAAACUCCUAAGUCCUAAAUAUCGGCUAAUAAUGAUGCAGUUUCUAGUGCAAUCAAAUGGCUCAAGAUCACUUCGUUAAUCAAACUUUCAUAACGAAUCGAUAUGUUCAAGAACAAUGUUCUUUUCUACUAUAAUCAACCAAAAACUCCCUAAACAAUAACCCUAGACAUCCUAUUUAUAUGAUAGGAAUCAUAAUCCAAAAGGAAACUAAAUAACAAAAUAUUAGGAAACUAAAAUUCAAAUAAAUAUAAAAUAAUAUCCGUAUAUAUCCUGCAUCAAAUAAUAUGACAAACAAACCAGUCGAACAGUGGCAAACAAAAGUACAUACUUAUAAAUGAUAGCAAUGUAAGACCCGUUACAAGUAAACUUGAUAAUAAAAUCUAGCGAGCUAUCAUCAGCACCAAAAUCCGUAAGUACGGACUGAGUCAGCUUUUGAGAGAUGAACAAGAACAGAAGAAACCAAUUUACCAAUUCAAAGCCAGUUCAUGGGUCAGAAUUUUCAUCAGACGGAAACACAAAACUAAGAAGAUAUAAUAAGCAAACAGCAGCCGCACUAAUAUCAGUAUCACCUUCAUAGCGUCAUCAGCAGUCAUUGUGUAACCGGCAGACCCGGAAGCAAGAAAAGAUGCAGGACAACACAAACAAUGCCAUAUCAUCAGCAUCACACUUUUUGUUAAUAGCCCGCUACGGCUAGCCUAUGCACAUUCGAAAAAGUGACUCCAAAAGAUGCAUGAAUAGGUCUAUAACAAAAUUGGUAAUUUUACAACUCUAAACACAGCACAUUCGAAAUGAAAAUAUCUCGGGGAUCAAACAAAAUAUUUAAGUCAUGCGGAUUAAUGAGCAUAAAUGCAUAAUAGUAUCCAAAUUAUAUACAAGAAUAACCAGAACAACCCUAUAGCUCAAAGGACAUUGCAAAUCUCCUACAUGUUUAAUAAGCCUAUCAAAAAAAAAAAAAAAAAAAAAAUUAAUAAGCCUAUCUCCACUAGCCCUUUUAAGAUUGCUAUUCAGAUUUGACUUUAACAAGUCAACAAUACAAAAUAUAUGAUCUACCUUCCUAGAGACAAAGAAAAGGGUUCCUAAAACCUGCUAACGCUACCUCAUAUUAUUAUAAGAGAUGGAACAAAAAACAGGUUUGGUAACCCGAUCAGAUUUCUACUACCAAACUGUUAUGAGCCAAACUGGUUUUAACCCAUCCCAAACCACCGGUUUGUACAGCAUUUCCCCCCACUCAUCACCCGAACUGGUUUGAGCCAAACUGGUUUCAACCUGACACAAACUGGUUUCAACCUGACACAAACUGGUUUCUCCUCAAACCGGAUUUGACCUAAGUUGACCAAACCGAUUUGUUUUAUAACCCAAACAAGUUUGGCAAAAAAUUUCGGUUAGUACACCUCUACUCAUAUAUGAAGAAUAGUGUUUCCCAACCCAACCUAUUAACCCCAAAACUCACCCACAUUUAUCCCAACAUCAUAAGUAGCAAAAGGAAAGUCAUAUAUUUCAGAUCUUUUCAGUUUGCAGAUUGUUUUUUUUUCCUCAAAUAAAGUAAUUUAAAAACCAAAACCAAAACCAAAAACAAAAUAAUUAAGUGAGGCUCAGAUGUGUAAACAAGGGAAGAAAGGCGGAUAAAUCCACCAUGGCUGCAAAUCUAUGAAUUGCCCAGCCAAGAUGCGGAUCAUCUCAAACUUUGCUCCCAUCCACUCGGACAGAUUAUUAUCAUCACAGCCUCUUCACUUUUAUAGGUAACCACUCCCUUCACCCUAAGUCAAUAAGAAGUUAUAAGUUGUUCCAAAAUAAGCUAACCCAAACACCCUCUUAAAAGAACCAUCGGAGUAAUUAACUCUGUAGUUCAGGGUGCGUGUAUAGAAUGGAAGUUGGCCGUUCAAAAAAAAAAAAAAAAAAAAAAAA